rnacentral:lncRNA from 1 species
UGACAUGUCUCUGACAUCCCUGUCUCAGCACAGUAAUGCCCCAAAGCUUGAGACGUCGUUCUCAGCGCGCAGGCUUUACGGUACCAACCGUGCGGUAUCAUUGCUACAUGAAGAGUGCACUGCCCCAACCAUUGAAGCAUCACAAGGUGCUUGCCUGCCGCCGCCGCCGCUGAUACGUACACGAUUGCUGCCACACAACCAACACAUCACACCCAACAAUCACAACAACAAAACAACUGAGACCCGCCGCCGCGCAACGCACACUGUACACGCUCCAGGGCCGAGAACGCAACACACACACAAGCACCUGACAUGCCUCAUCCAGGCAUGCGUCACUCAAUCGCCCACCGAGCUGAUCUCGCACACGCCGUUCGUGAGCCCCUGCGGCUGACAUGCCCGACCCUGCCGCCUUGGCACCGCCGCCCAUUGCCCCACCCCCAUGCUGCGUGCCAUGUAAUAAUGAAGCCAGGUCCCCAUCAAGCCGCAGCAUAUAUCCCCGCCAAGCCACCACACUCCUCUUGCCGCACGCUACCAACCACCACCAGCACAGGACCGGCACCUGCCUGUCCCCCUGUUUAGUUUGGGCUGGUAUUUGCAAACCCCCCGCCCCACCCUCCCCAUUGCCAACGCCAGCCAACCUCGCCCACCGCGCCGAAAUACACGCCGGCACCUCGCUCGUGCCUCUCGAGGCCUCCCAUCUUCCGUAGCUAGAGAUCCCUGUCCACGAGUAUCCACUUGGGCUCCAGCCCACUCCUGAUGCACACGCCAGCAUUAUCCAGGUCUGCAUGGUUUGCAUACCUGCCUAUCUACCGUGCACGCACACCUGCCUAGCUACGCAGACCUACCGUCCUUUUCGACCCGCCGACCCGCCUCCGCCCGCCGCCUCCCUCUGGCCGCCGUGCCGGCCGCACCAGCAGCUGCUGUUGUGGGUUGCCGCCAGAGCCGCCGCCGCCCUUGUUGCUGUUGGUGGUGGUGGUUGCGGGCUGGUGUGGCGCGGCCGUAGUGACAGCCGCAGCGCCGCCCACGGCACCCGCUGUCACUGUUUCCACCGCCACCGCCGGCUGCUGCAGCCGGCGCAGCAGGUAGGCCUCCUGCUCGGAAGGAGUCAGGAAGUCCCAUUCCCAGUACGGCACUAGUAGGACGCCGCCCUCCUUAAACGCCCGCCGCAGCUGCCGAAUGCGAAUGGCCGUACCCCCUUCCACAGCAGCGCUGGGGUCUUGCUGCUGCGUUUGUGUCAAGAGGUAACGUUUCGGUCCGAGGAACUCCACCGCCGCCUGCUGCCCGUCACUCAGCCGCACCACCGCAUCCACUGGCGCCAACACUCCUGGCGCGACAACGCCCGUCUGAAGGGACUGAACGGCUAGGCCCCCUGCUGCCUUGAGGCCCUGCUGCUCAAGCCGCCGCAGCGCUGCAACGACCUGCUUUUGAGUAUCUGAUGUGGGCUUGGCGUCUUCCCUCUCAGUAGUCACCGCCGCUGCCAUCGCCGCCUGCAGUCCGCUGCCGCUGCCCAGGGCCGCCGCCACCUCGCCGCCUAGCUCCUGCUGCGCCUGCCACAGCUGUUUGAGAUGCUCAGUUGUAAGACCCUCCCAACGGCUUACUGCUUCACGGGCCAGCUGAAUGGAUAGCUGCUUCAUGUCGGGAGAAUACGUGCCUCCGAACACAGCCAUGGCCCACAGGCUGUUGCAUACGUGCUGGUGCAGGACUGUGUCAGAGUCAUGCUGCAGCAGCUCGCCCAGCCGACCGCACACCGCCGCCUCCAAGCCAGCGUGCCGCAGCUGCAGCACCGCCAGCGCGUACAGCGUAUUGGCACAGUUCUGACCACCGGCACUACUGGCGCGCAUGGCUGCUACUGCUGCGCCCGAGUCAAGCAGCUCCGCCGGCGGCUGGUGGCGCAUCAACGCAAGCGCGUACAGCAGAUUGGACCAGGCCUGAGAUGUUGCGCGGGCCAUGGCGCCCGACUGCGUUGCUGCGUCCACCGCUGCUGAAACCCACUGCCGCUGCUCGGCCGGCGCCUCCGGGCCCGCCCCAAAUCCCAUCUUGGCUAGGGCCCACGCUGAGUUGCUGAGGUCCUGAGCGAUGUACCCGUCAAACCCCCGCCGCAUGUCCUCUUCGGCCACUGCCACCACCAGCUCUGCCUGCUCGCUGCAUAGCUGCAGCCCCUCCAGCGCCAGCAGGAUGUUGGAUAGCUGUUGCGGGAUAAAUGCUGCAGCGAGCUCCGGUUUCCGGAGCUGCUGCAGUGCCUCCCCGCACAGCGCCUCAACUGCUGACCGGUACUCUGGUCCUGUGCACCCCAGAGCUUUGAGAGCCCAUAGGCUGUUUGAAACAUCUUGCGGCUUGAAGCCGUGGCCCGCCACCGUUCUCAAGCGAGAAGCCACAGCUGCCGCCAAGGUCUGCAAGUGCGGAGAUGAGGUGGGGUCCCAGCCUGAGCCCCGCUGCUGCUGGUCUUGCUUGAGCUUGCCGAGCGCGUACAUGACAAUUGCGAGGUUCUGAGGUUCCGCCUUCCCAAGAACCUCAGGAUCCACUAGCCGCUCCAGCAGAGCUGCUGCAAGCUGAGCCUCCGUGCCGCCGCCGACCAAUCCAGCUUUGCCCAGCGCCCACAGCGGAAUGCUGCAGUUCUUUGCGUUGCGGAUGCGCGGCACGAGCGGCAGGUAGGCCGGCGCAAGCAUGCCGAUAAUGCUGCUGCGUGCUACAGCCGUUUGGCUUGCUCCAGCGCGCGACUCCAGCUGCGUUCAAAGCAGUUAUGAGGGACAUACAUGGGGUCAAGUGCUAUAUGCAUGUGUUUGUGCGUGUGCGUGAACAGGUGCGCAUGCAAGUCCUGUGUGGCCAUCUGCGUCGUGAGAACCGGAAGUCCGGGCCGAGAACGACAACAAUGGACUCGCCCUCCAUUCUGCACUUCAUUUCUGUGCCCAUUCCCACCUGCACGUAUUAGUCCUCCCUCUCACCUUGCCGCACAGGUUGAACGCCGCACACAUGGUAAUGAAGUCUUUUCGGCCCUCCCACACUGAUAGCCGCUGGCUGAUGAUUGCUUGCAGCUCCUCCAGAGUCCGACACACGGUCAUGUCAUCCGCGGGGUCACGCCCGCUGCCCCUGCUUCUGCCGCUGGCGCGGCUGCCAUCGCCUGCCCUGCCUCCGCCGCUUCCCCUACCCGCCGCCGCCUGCACUAUUGGCCGCCCGAGGCGGGAGCUACUGCUGCCGCAGAGCACUACCGCCGUCGAGACGCGCAGUGGGGAUGAGCUGCUACUGUUGAGUGCUGGGACAGAAGUAGCGGCGGCAGCGCGCGGUGAGCUGGGGCCGGUGUCGGCAGCGGUCCGAUGCAUGCCAUAAACGAACAGUCUUCUAAACGCGCACGCCGGUGGCGGUGCCUGGAGACGGGCUGAUAACGAUUGGCUACAGCCAUGUACGCUGUGCCUGUGCGCACCAGCGGGAGAGCCCGCGACGACGCGCAGGGCGAGCAUCUCGGGCCUCCUCACGGCGGCGACCUGAGCUAUAGCGACUCUAUCCGUCUACGUGUCUGAGCACUGCAAAUGCAUUAGGCUUGCAUUUGUGGGAGAAUAACGCAAGGAACGAAAGGUCAGGUGCGUGUAGGUCGCUGGGCCAAAGCCGCCUGAGUAGCUGUGGCUUGGUAUGGAUGAUAAAGCAACUGAAUCAAUUUGCCACCGGUGUUGAGGCGAGGGCGACCUGACCGCGAAAUACACGGCCCGAGGGCACGCCCCGUAUCAACACCCCUCGCGACCUCCAAACACGUGCACUGAACCGCGAAGCCCUCCCCCAAGCCUAUCGCGGCUGCUAUUCCCAUGUCCUCCUCCCCAACCAUUCUGCAUACAGGCUCUGGCGUGAGUCCCUGCCCGCGUCAUUUGACACCCGUCGACCACGACUGAGGUGCAACGCAUGUCGCUUACAAAUCCAACAUCCCGCCCGACACGAGAGGGGCAGAAACGGCGGGGCAGACGGCCAGCCUCUUGAACAUGAGCAUAGCAGUGCAAUAUCGCACAUUGGGUCCCCGCCUGCUUCACCUGGCCACCUUUGCUGAUUUGUCUGACAUCCCUGUCUACACACUUUUAUCCGCCCACGCUUGAGACGUCCUCCUCAGCGCGCAGGCUUCACGGUACCAACCGUGCGGUAUCAUCGCUACAUGAUGAGUGCACUGCCCCAACCAUUGAAGCAUCACAAGGUGCUUGCCUGCCGCCGCCGCCGCUGAUACGUACACGAUUGCUGCCACACAACCAACACAUCACACCCAACAAUCACAACAACAAAACAACUGAGACCCGCCGCCGUGCAACGCACACUGUACACGCCCCAGGGCCGAGAACACAACGCAACACAAGCACCUGACAUGCCUCAUCCAGGCAUGCGUCACUCAAUCGCCCACCGAGCCGACCUCGCACACGCCGUUCGUGAGCCCCUGCGGCUGACAUGCCCGGCCCUGCCCCCUUGGCACCGCAGCCCUGCCGCCUUGGCACCGCCGCCCAUUGCCCCACCCCCAUGCUGCGUGCCAUGUAAGAAUAAAGCCAGGUCCCCAUCAAGCCGCAGCAUAUAUCCCCGCCAAGCCACCAGACUCCUCUUGCCGCACGCUACCAACCACCACCAGCACAGGACCGGCACCUGCCUGUCCCCCUGUUUAGUUUGGGCUGAUAUUUACAACCCCCCACCCUCCCCUCCCCACCUUCCCCAUUGCCAACCUCGCCCACCGCGCCGACAUGCACGCCGGCACCUCGCUCGUGCCUCUCGAGGCCUCCCAUCUUCCGUAGCUAGAGAUCCCUGUCCACGAGUAUCCACUUGGGCUCCAGCCCACUCCUGAUGCACACGCCGGCAUUACCCAGGUCUGCAUGGUUUGCAUGCCUGCCUGUCUACCGUGCACGCACACCUGCCUAGCUACGCAGACCUACUACCGUCCUUUUUGACCCGCCUCCGCCGCCACCGCCGCCGUCUCCUCCCUCUGGCCGCCGUGCCGGCCGCGCCAGCAGCUGCUGUUGUGGGUUGCCGCCAGAGCCGCCGCCGCCCUUGUUGCUGUUGGUGGUGGUGGUUGCGGGCUGGUGUGGCGCGGCCGUAGUGACAGCCGCAGCGCCGCCCACGGCACCCGCUGUCACUGUUUCCACCGCCACCGCCGGCUGCUGCAGCCGGCGCAGCAGGUAGGCCUCCUGCUCGGAAGGAGUCAGGAAGUCCCAUUCCCAGUACGGCACUAGUAGGACGCCGCCCUCCUUAAACGCCCGCCGCAGCUGCCGAAUGCGAAUGGCCGUACCCCCUUCCACAGCAGCGCUGGGGUCUUGCUGCUGCGUUUGUGUCAAGAGGUAACGUUUCGGUCCGAGGAACUCCACCGCCGCCUGCUGCCCGUCACUCAGCCGCACCACCGCAUCCACUGGCGCCAACACUCCUGGCGCGACAACGCCCGUCUGAAGGGACUGAACGGCUAGGCCCCCUGCUGCCUUGAGGCCCUGCUGCUCAAGCCGCCGCAGCGCUGCAACGACCUGCUUUUGAGUAUCUGAUGUGGGCUUGGCGUCUUCCCUCUCAGUAGUCACCGCCGCUGCCAUCGCCGCCUGCAGUCCGCUGCCGCUGCCCAGGGCCGCCGCCACCUCGCCGCCUAGCUCCUGCUGCGCCUGCCACAGCUGUUUGAGAUGCUCAGUUGUAAGACCCUCCCAACGGCUUACUGCUUCACGGGCCAGCUGAAUGGAUAGCUGCUUCAUGUCGGGAGAAUACGUGCCUCCGAACACAGCCAUGGCCCACAGGCUGUUGCAUACGUGCUGGUGCAGGACUGUGUCAGAGUCAUGCUGCAGCAGCUCGCCCAGCCGACCGCACACCGCCGCCUCCAAGCCAGCGUGCCGCAGCUGCAGCACCGCCAGCGCGUACAGCGUAUUGGCACAGUUCUGACCACCGGCACUACUGGCGCGCAUGGCUGCUACUGCUGCGCCCGAGUCAAGCAGCUCCGCCGGCGGCUGGUGGCGCAUCAACGCAAGCGCGUACAGCAGAUUGGACCAGGCCUGAGAUGUUGCGCGGGCCAUGGCGCCCGACUGCGUUGCUGCGUCCACCGCUGCUGAAACCCACUGCCGCUGCUCGGCCGGCGCCUCCGGGCCCGCCCCAAAUCCCAUCUUGGCUAGGGCCCACGCUGAGUUGCUGAGGUCCUGAGCGAUGUACCCGUCAAACCCCCGCCGCACGUCCUCUGCGGCCACUGCCACCACCAGCUCUGCCUGCUCGCUGCAUAGCUGCAGCCCCUCCAGCGCCAGCAGGAUGUUGGAUAGCUGUUGCGGGAUAAAUGCUGCAGCGAGCUCCGGUUUCCGGAGCCGCUGCAGUGCCUCCCCGCACAGCGCCUCAACUGCUGACCGGUACUCUGGUCCUGUGCACCCCAGAGCUUUGAGAGCCCAUAGGCUGUUUGAAACAUCUUGCGGCUUGAAGCCGUGGCCCGCCACCGUUCUCAAGCGAGAAGCCACAGCUGCCGCCAAGGUCUGCAAGUGUGGCGAUGAGGUGGGGUCCCAGCCUGAGCCCCGCUGCUGCUGGUCUUGCUUGAGCUUGCCGAGCGCGUACAUGACAAUUGCGAGGUUCUGAGGUUCCGCCUUCCCAAGAACCUCAGGAUCCACUAGCCGCUCCAGCAGAGCUGCUGCAAGCUGAGCCUCCGUGCCGCCGCCGACCAAUCCAGCUUUGCCCAGCGCCCACAGCGGAAUGCUGCAGUUCUUUGCGUUGCGGAUGCGCGGCACGAGCGGCAGGUAGGCCGGCGCAAGCAUGCCGAUAAUGCUGCUGCGUGCUACAGCCGUUUGGCUUGCUCCAGCGCGCGACUCCAGCUGCGUUCAAAGCAGUUAUGAGGGACAUACAUGGGGUCAAGUGCUAUAUGCAUGUGUUUGUGCGUGUGCGUGAACAGGUGCGCAUGCAAGUCCUGUGUGGCCAUCUGCGUCGUGAGAACCGGAAGUCCGGGCCGAGAACGACAACAAUGGACUCGCCCUCCAUUCUGCACUUCAUUUCUGUGCCCAUUCCCACCUGCACGUAUUAGUCCUCCCUCUCACCUUGCCGCACAGGUUGAACGCCGCACACAUGGUAAUGAAGUCUUUUCGGCCCUCCCACACUGAUAGCCGCUGGCUGAUGAUUGCUUGCAGCUCCUCCAGAGUCCGACACACGGUCAUGUCAUCCGCGGGGUCACGCCCGCUGCCCCUGCUUCUGCCGCUGGCGCGGCUGCCAUCGCCUGCCCUGCCUCCGCCGCUUCCCCUACCCNNNNNNNNNNNNNNNNNNNNNNNNNNNNNNNNNNNNNNNNNNNNNNNNNNNNNNNNNNNNNNNNNNNNNNNNNNNNNNNNNNNNNNNNNNNNNNNNNNNNGAGAAUAACGCAAGGAACGAAAGGUCAGGUGCGUGUAGGUCGCUGGGCCAAAGCCGCCUGAGUAGCUGUGGCUUGGUAUGGAUGAUAAAGCAACUGAAUCAAUUUGCCACCGGUGUUGAGGCGAGGGCGACCUGACCGCGAAAUACACGGCCCGAGGGCACGCCCCGUAUCAACACCCCUCGCGACCUCCAAACACGUGCACUGAACCGCGAAGCCCUCCCCCAAGCCUAUCGCGGCUGCUAUUCCCAUGUCCUCCUCCCCAACCAUUCUGCAUACAGGCUCUGGCGUGAGUCCCUGCCCGCGUCAUUUGACACCCGUCGACCACGACUGAGGUGCAACGCAUGUCGCUUACAAAUCCAACAUCCCGCCCGACACGAGAGGGGCAGAAACGGCGGGGCAGACGGCCAGCCUCUUGAACAUGAGCAUAGCAGUGCAAUAUCGCACAUUGGGUCCCCGCCUGCUUCACCUGGCCACCUUUGCUGAUUUGUCUGACAUCCCUGUCUACACACUUUUAUCCGCCCACGCUUGAGACGUCCUCCUCAGCGCGCAGGCUUCACGGUACCAACCGUGCGGUAUCAUCGCUACAUGAUGAGUGCACUGCCCCAACCAUUGAAGCAUCACAAGGUGCUUGCCUGCCGCCGCCGCCGCUGAUACGUACACGAUUGCUGCCACACAACCAACACAUCACACCCAACAAUCACAACAACAAAACAACUGAGACCCGCCGCCGUGCAACGCACACUGUACACGCCCC